UUUGCUUUUGUAUUUCAAUAACAAAACAUAAAAUAGAAUACAAAAACUGUCCGGCAUUCGUGCUUAGAGACACACUACUUCUGCUUAUUGGUUGUGAAAUGUUUGCUUUGUGGACAUCGCUUUAAGCAUGAGAAGCUAAAGUACGUGCGUCGAUCGGGUGUGCUUGAGAUUGUCAGGCGAGAGAGAUGGAUGACCACGGCGUCAUCAUUGGCAAGUAGUAUUUCCUAUUUAUCAAACGAACGAAUGAUGAGUUGAGCGCUGGGUCAAGCAAAUCAAGAGGCAAUUGUAAAGACGAAUCGGUAUGUUGGUUAUCACAUUUUAGAAACAACAAAAAUGUUUGGGUCGUCAAUCAUCAUCGUUGUGUGGACAGCGUGUUGGUUCUGUCACCAAACGACCCAGCAAUCGUCAGGACUCAUACAAACUACAACCUGCUUUUGUCAAAACACAAAAGGUCAACAGCGACCGCGGGCACUGGUUAACAAUUUUAAAUGUAAUGUAUCAAUAAUAUCAUUAAUAAAUACUAUAAAAUCAUAACUUGGGUUCAAUGAAAAUUCAGAGAACUCCAGAACAUUCCUUGAUACGUCAGUAAAAUCUGUUUAUUUCCAUCUCAAAAUGAUUUAAAAUUGUGUAAAUGCGAGAAAGAGAAUCUUUACUUGCGACUUACUUGCGUAUUUGCGAGUGUUCGACAUAUUUUUUUCUGAAUAUAAAAUUUGAGCAAAUCGAAAUCAUUUUUAUACCCUAAAAUUCGAUUCCCCCAGAAAUCACAAACAAAAUGAAUAUUUUUAAAUCAUUCUUAGUCAGGAAGAAAUUUUCUUUUUAUAAGAGGGAUGACAAGUCUGAUUCAUUUAUUAUAUUAUUCAAUACCAUGCUUGGCGAACGCUAUUCAUCUACUCAAAAAUGAACCUGAAACAGAUUUGUCUUAGUAUGUUCCACGAGUAUGGGGUCACUGAAAUACGACCCAUCAUUCGCAAAUGCUCUGGAAAGGUCCGGUUUAGUUCAUGAACCAUAUUCCAUGUAUAAAAUUUGUAACCACGUAUUUACAUUCGUCUCGUUCACACUGCUGUUCAAUCUAUUUUUCUCUGAUUCCGUAUUUUCUAUGCAAGCUUCACGCUCAUUUCUAUUUCGAAAUUCAUCAAACCGCCAUUUUGUCUUACUUCCACUUUUAUAUGAUCCGUAUAUUUCAUUUCACCGUCUCCGAUGCUACGAUGAAAACAAUGAGCCUUUUGUAAUAACUUUCAGACCUUCCGGUUGGAAUUUAUGUUCCGUUUUGAUGAAUGUUUGGUUAUCAAAAACAUCAGAUAAACUGUGGUAUAAUUUAUAGCAUGAAGAAAACCGAGAUAAACUAUUUUUGUAAUCAAAAGUGCAUCCGCACUGUCCGCAUGUUUUCUUCUUGUAUAGAUGAAAUACAUUUCUCCUACGUCUUAUUUGCUUAAUUAAAUUUUUAGUCCAUAUUUUGAAAAUUUCGCGAGUUUAAAUUUGAUGUUUGUGUAAUAUGAAUUGGUCAGCAAAUAGUAGUGCAAAUUAAUAAGGGAAUGACUAAACAGUGGCUAAUUAUUGAAGAGUAGCUCGCGAAACGACUGUAAUCGACUAAUCGGGACAAAUUGUCAUUUCAAUUAUUCUACCACUUCUUCGAUUCACGAUAUAUAUUUUCACACUAUUUUUGUCAGUACAUUAAUCAUAUUAAUGUGGGGUAAUUUUUCUAAAUAUCUUGAAAAAGUUUGCAAAUGUCAUGUUAAACAUCGCAACGAUGUCACAGAAGCUAAGCAAUAAGUAUGUUUAUAGUCUGCUUCGUACAUAGCAAACUUUCGAUGCGACGUUAUAUAAACCCUCAGAGCUUUAAAAUCAAGGCCAGAUUCGGAUGGAAUAUUUUAUACAAAUUAAAUUCCAUGUAUAAAUUAACAUGACCAAAUAAAUGUAAUUUUAAAUGUAUAAUACUUUGUGUUGAAUUUGCAUUGUGUGAGUUCUUUUUUUUUUAUCUUUAAAUGACAUGUUUUUGUUGUUGCCAAUCACAG